rnacentral:tRNA from 1 species
UCCCUGGUGGUCUAGUGGAUAGGACCGGCUUUCAGUGCUGCAGCCCAGGUUCGAUUCCUAGUCUGGGAA